rnacentral:misc_RNA from 1 species
CAACCCUCAAGCAUUGCUUGGUGUUGGGCGCCGCUGCUCACCCAGCGGGCCCUAAAAUCAGUGGCGGUGCCGUCGAGGCCUUGAGCGUAGUAAAUACCCUCGCUAUAAGGACUCGGUGGACGCUAGCCAGCAACCCCCAACUUCUAAGU